GCCAGACUCCUACGGGAGGCAGCAGUGGGGAAUAUUGCACAAUGGGGGAAACCCUGAUGCAGCAACGCCGCGUGGGUGAAGGAGCGUUUCGGCGCGUAAAGCCCUGUCAGCGGGGAAGAAGAAAGACGGUACCCGACCAAGAAGCCCCGGCUAACUACGUGCCAGCAGCCGCGGUAAUACGUAGGGGGCAAGCGUUAUCCGGAUUUACUGGGUGUAAAGGGAGCGUAGACGGCAAUACAAGUCGGAAGUGAAAUACCCGGGCUUAACCUGGGAACUGCUUUGGAAACUGUAUGGCUGGAGUGCUGGAGAGGUAAGCGGAAUUCCUAGUGUAGCGGUGAAAUGCGUAGAUAUUAGGAGGAACACCAGUGGCGAAGGCGGCUUACUGGACUGUAACUGACGUUGAGGCUCGAAAGCGUGGGGAGCAAACAGGAUUAGAUACCCGAGUACGU
rnacentral:rRNA from 1 species